AGUGAAGACUGUUACUAUAUCCUUCUUACUGGGUGCCUCACACAAUGGGAGAACACUCCAGGACUCUUUUUUUUUUUUCUGGACAUGUGACAGAAGAAAGCCAGAUGAGAUGAAGAAUAAUAUGGUGAAGAUAUGGAGGAACAGAGGCCAAAUGAUCAUAAAGAGGCACCAAAAUACAAUAAUUAUAAUAUGUAGUAAAUCAAAGGGAAAUAAGCAGGUUGACUCAGAAAAGUGUUUUAUAGUUUUGUGUGGAAGCUGCUUUGUCUAAUUAUGUGGUUGAUUCAAGAAUCUUUUCCUCUGGCUUUAUUUGAUACAUAAUUGACAUAUGACAUUGUGUAAGUGUAAGAUAUUCAGUGUGAUGAUUUUAUGUGUUUAUUGUGCCAUAUUUACAAUAAGGUUAAUUAAACAGCCUUCACCU